rnacentral:tRNA from 1 species
GGCUCUAUAGUGUAGUGGUUAUCACCUCGGAUUCUGAGCAAGCACUCGCAAUUCCGGUAACGCCAGUUCGAGUCUGGCUAGGGCCU